rnacentral:piRNA from 1 species
UCAGGACCUCUGGAAGAACAGCUAGUG